UACGUAGGGUCCGAGCGUUGUCCGGAGUUACUGGGCGUAAAGCGCGCGCAGGCGGCGGUGCUGGCCCGGCGUGAAAGCCCCCGGCUCAACCGGGGAGAGUCGUCGGGGACCGCACCGCUUGAGGGCGGUAGGGGCUGGUGGAAUGCCUGGUGUAGUGGUGAAAUGCGUAGAGAUCAGGCAGAACACCUGGGGCGAAGGCGGCCAGCUGGGCCGUCCCUGACGCUGAGGCGCGAAAGCUAGGGGAGCGAACGGG
rnacentral:rRNA from 1 species